CCCCCCCCUGCUUCUCACUAAAGGAAGGACUAUCAUGAAGAAGCUGUGGAUUUUAAACUUCUGGAAGACCUAAAGCCAGGAAGAAAGAUGCUAGCGCGAGAACCGUGGCUAAGCGGAGAACCGAGCCUAGGAGAACGGGUCCCCCCACCUCCCCCUCGCAAAGGAAAUAAAAACAGUUUUUUUUAAUGAAAAUGAAACAAAAAGACAUAAAAAAUGAAUUAUAAAACUGUAACCAAAGUUGCUGUCUCGUUUACAGUGAGUUUGGGGGAUUCAUGUGCCCGGGGUUCCCCCUCCCCUUCAGAAGAGGGGGGCCUUGCAGGGGUGGGGACGCGCACGCGGGGGGGUCUUGUUAGUUCAUGUUUUGGAAGCUAAAUAAGACUCGCGGUGUGGUUCUAAUUGCUGUAACCUUGGAUAUUAUAUACUCAACCCCCACCCCCCCCCCCUCCCCUCUUCCUACAUGCAGGAGCCUGCUCCUCAGGCCCCUGGACGGUCUUCUCGUCGACGGGGGGCCCUGCGCAGUAGACUUGUAGGACGGCUCUUUUUAUUUCUUUUCUGUACUGUACACCUUUUUUGGAAAAAGUAAAAAAAAAAAAAGACAAAACUGUAAACAUACUGUAAUAAUACUGUUUCACACUGAGAUAAAAAUGCUGGCUUGGCAGCAAACUGUAGUUUUUAAAAGCAAAAAUUUUAGCUAAUGUUGAGAGAGCGAGAAAGAGAGAGAGAGAAAGAAUGAACGAAAGAAAGAGAGCGAGCGAGAGAGCGAGCCCCACCCACCCACCUACCCGCCCCUCCAAAGUAGGGUGAAGCGACAACACCUUGACCUCUUCUCUUUGUCCCUCUUGAUUGUAAUGACUUGACCCUUUGUAAAAGAAAGUCACCCUCCCUCCCCCUACCUUCCUCCUUGUAGGACUGGUCCUCGACUCUGGCUGCAGUCGAAGCUGCAGCGUGUAUAUAUAUAUUAAGAUGUUGUACAUUACACUCCCCCUAUUCUCCUAACAUCCCACCACCACACACCUCACCCUUCUUCCCCCCCAACCCGAAACCUCUGUUACUCUUCACUUUUUUUUUAUAGUUUUUUUUUUUUUUUUUUUAUCUGUGACAAUGAAAAAAGUUACUUACACUCUUUCCCGGGCGACGUCAAGGAAUGACUUGACAUCGAUUUCUCCCCGCCCUCCCCUAUUCCCCUCACCGUCUCCAUGCACAAACCCUGUUUCUGUUUGACUCUGGUCCAAGCUGUAGAGAAUAUAAACAAACGUACAACAAACAGAAAAUACCAUAGUAAACGGUUGAGUUCCUGCGAAAAAUGAAACCCACUUACCCCGACGGAAAAGAAAAGAAACUGAUUCUUUAUUUUUUUUCCAGUGAUGCGGAUUCUGCAUAUUUGUAUUUCAGACGAUGUAGCUAAAACUUGAUGUAAAUUCCUUUUUUCCUUUUUUGGCUUAAUGAAUAUCAUUUAUUCAGUAUGAAAUCUUUAUACUAUAUGUUCCACGUGUUAAGAAUAAAUGUACAUUAAAUCUUCUUAAGACGUCUGCUGUGGAUUUAUUCAUAAACGUCUACAUUUAGUCACCAAUCAUAAAAAUGAAACCUCACAAUGAAGUCCUUAAAUGUUUUAAAUAAUUCGCACGGAUA
ensembl:lncRNA